AUGUUAACGUAUGAUAUGCUAACAUCGGUUUUUCAAAAAACCGAUGUUAACGUAUAUGCAUUAACAU
rfam:Glycine soja cultivar W05 scaffold11220_1, whole genome shotgun sequence.